CAUGGUUGUCGUCAGCUCGUGCCGUGAGGUGUCGGGUUAAGUCCCAUAACGAGCGCAACCCCUAUCAUUAGUUGCCAUCAGGUCAAGCUGGGGACUCUAAUGAAACUGCCUACGCAAGUAGUGAGGAAGGUGGGGAUGACGUCAAAUCAGCACGGCCCUUACGUCCAGGGCUACACACGUGCUACAAUGGCCGGUACAAAGGGCAGCUACCUGGUGACAGGAUGCAAAUCUCCAAAGUCGGUCUCAGUUCGGAUCGGAGUCUGCAACCCGACUCCGUGAAGUUGGAUUCGCUAGUAAUCGCGCAUCAGCCAUGGCGCGGUGAAUACGUUCCCGGGCCUUG
rnacentral:rRNA from 1 species